rnacentral:lncRNA from 1 species
CUUCAUUUAACAGCUCGCAAUCACAAUUAACAACCGGUAAUCAUGAAUAAACAUUUGUGCUUAAUACAACAGAAGUUUGUAUUAAUGAGCUGAAACAUCGGGUGCUGUCUCAGCUGCAAUUUGGAUUCCAAUUUUGUUUGCCCUAUUAGGUAUACAUACAUGUACCUUCUCUGUAAUUCUGUUUCCUACGAAAAAAGGCAAAAACAAACAAAAGAAAGGAUUUCUUUGUUGUUGUCUUUUC